UUUUACCAUGGCAGCUCUAUGGAGAAAAUACGCCUUUUACUCUGGUUCCUCCAGAGCGGCAAGCUUCGAUGGUCCUGUCCAGAUUUUUCACUUUGAACGCGUCGGAUUCGAUGACGAUGUUGUUUGGGCACGUACAGCUGAAAGCAUCAAAAAACGCGGUUUUCUUAAAUAUGGUACAAAAGGGGGAAUACUGGUUUAACGACGGUACACCUCUUCAAUACAAAAAGAGACUUGGUCUUGGUCUUGCACCCCAGUGCGUUCGAAGCUGUGAUUAUGGCUAUUGCAAUUUGGUCUGGUCUUUACAAUGUUUCAGCAAAAUCGAGAGU